rnacentral:rRNA from 1 species
GAUGAACGCUGGCGGCGUGCCUAAUACAUGCAAGUCGAGCGAACAGACGAGGAGCUUGCUCCUCUGACGUUAGCGGCGGACGGGUGAGUAACACGUGGAUAACCUACCUAUAAGACUGGGAUAACUUCGGGAAACCGGAGCUAAUACCGGAUAAUAUAUUGAACCGCAUGGUUCAAUAGUGAAAGACGGUUUUGCUGUCACUUAUAGAUGGAUCCGCGCCGCAUUAGCUAGUUGGUAAGGUAACGGCUUACCAAGGCGACGAUGCGUAGCCGACCUGAGAGGGGGCUCGGCCACACUGGAACUGAGACACGGUCCAGACUCCUACGGGAGGCAGAAGUAGGGAAUCUUCCGCAAUGGGCGAAAGGUUGACGGAGCAACGCCGCGUGAGUGAUGAAGGUCUUCGGAUCGUAAAACUCUGUUAUUAGGGAAGAACAAAUGUGUAAGUAACUAUGCACGUCUUGACGGUUCCUAAUCAGAAAGCCACGGCUAACUACGUG